CUAGUUUUGUAUUUAAAACCGAUAUUCCCUUCAGGUGCUGCAGCUUAUUCAGAAGUUGUGUCUGCUGUUGACCGCGUUUCUCUAGCCCUUUGUGUAGAGAUGUCCUGCCGCUCCCUAGCUCUCUUCUCUCCCUCUGAGCUCAGCCACCGCGGCCGGAGGAGUGUAGUUGACUCACCAAGAAGAGCUCCAGAGUGGAGAACACAGCAGCGUGCUGCAUUGGGGCUUCAUAAUACUGGGGGAAUACUGCGACCGGACUGGCAGAAUAGCCCAGUGCAUUUCCCCGGGCGCACAUUCUUUACUCGCGCGAAUAGAUGUGUUUGCUGUAAUGUGCACGCGUGCUUUUGGCGAGCACAUGGCUGCGCGCGAGGUUUGAUGGAGGAGAUGGGAUUAGAGCGAGUGGAAGCAGAGCAGACGUAGUGCUAUUAUAGCCCAGCAAACCAAAAAGCACCAAAGAGAGCAUCAGUGUCCAACAGGUAUGCAGCCUUUGGCAUCGUGUAUUGUCUCAAGCAUCCUCCCCGCUCCAGUAGAUGUGCAGAAUGGGUUUUGGGAAUGUGUUUUGUGUGUGUUUCGCGGCCCGUUCAUUUGAGAUGUCCACGUUUUAGACGGUUUAUUUGGGUUGGCCUAAUCUGACUCUUUGCUGCGGCCUUCUUGGGAGCUGAUGUUAUGUGUUAGACCUGUGUCAUGUUUAAUGCAACAUGUUUCAUGUUUGUUGUGAUCUCCAGGAAGAGCUGGGUUGUGCUUUUGGCACACGCUAACAGGGAUCCUAAUAAAAUCUAAUUUCAUGUUAAAGAAAAAGGAUUGAGGGUAUUAUGCCUACGCAUAUUUGACUGUUUUUAGAGAUAUGUUAACCAUCCAGAACCUAUGCUAUCACCUGAAAAUCAGUCUUGACUUCAAAGCCCAUUUCUACAAUUCAUUGAGCCUACAACUGAAAGUCACGUAAGCUAUAUUUGCCCAUGCAGUACGCUACACAUAACUAGUAAACAUAAUGGAAGCCUUAAGCAAAGUCAUAAUUAAUUACUUUUUUUUUAAGAGAUCCCACAAGACAAGCUCUAAUUAUAGUUGAAACAGUCUUAAUUGGCCAUGUUCCCUACAAUCAAAAACGCAAUGUGUGAUUAGCAAUUGCGACUGACUGGCUGAUCCACAAGUAGCCUAAUAUUGAGUCAUUUUUUGUGAUGCAAGGAGAUUUAUAGAUCAGUCUAGAUGUUCUGCAGUCAUCUUCAUCAUCAUUCAGUACAUUAUUCAUGGCUAAAAAGCCCUCACAUUUUUACAAUUUACCAUAUCUCCUUAAAACAAGAUUUACAAUAAAAAUGUUGUCUUUAGAUUUUUGCAGUAUAGCCAAUUUUAUGUUUGUCCGGCUGUUUCAGCACGGUGACAACCUCCCCAUUGCGUUAUUUAAACCUCAUUCGGCCUCAGUCGGUGUGACACCUCACCAUGAUAGUACUCAUAGGUCCAAAAUGUUGCUACUUUAGGGCUAACAGCAAUUUUCGGAAAUAUACUAUAGAAAAAAAGAAUGAAAACAUAUUCUUCCGAAUUGUAAAUGUUUUGCUGGAUUUGUUAUACAUUAGGAUUUAAAUACUUAGGCUACAUUUGCAACCCUCCUCCUAUUUAUGUUAGCUAUCUUUAAUAAACAAGCCUUGGUUCUCAGGUUGACGUGGUUGGUCACCGCCCAGCAGCGCUUUAAAUUUGCAUAAGGUAUAGGGCAGAACCUUUUAUACUGCACAUUGAGUGACAUUGGUCACUCUCCCACAUUCUCGCUCAUAUUUCUGUGUACACGUGUUGAAAAUGAAUUCUACUGCCAAAUUCGCCAUUGAAAACAGCUGUUUGCAUUCAUAUAGAUUAAACUAGCUAUUAACUAAUGUGCAUAUUUAGAAUUUUUAUGUCUGGUCCAAACUUUAAAAUCGAUCCAAU
rnacentral:lncRNA from 1 species